rnacentral:rRNA from 1 species
AUCGGAAUUACUGGGCGUAAAGCGUGCGCAGGCGGUCUUUUAAGUCAGAUGUGAAAUCCCCAGGCUUAACCUGGGAACUGCGUUUGAAACUGGAAGGCUAGAGUGUGGCAGAGGGGGGUGGAAUUCCACGUGUAGCAGUGAAAUGCGUAGAGAUGUGGAGGAACACCGAUGGCGAAGGCAGCCCCCUGGGCUAACACUGACGCUCAUGCACGAAAGCGUGCGGAGCAAACAG